rnacentral:rRNA from 1 species
UACAGAGGUCUCAAGCGUUGUUUCGGAUUCAUUGGGCGUAAAGGGCGCGUAGGCGGCGGGGUAAGUCGGGUGUGAAAUCUCAGAGCUCAACUCUGAAAUGGCACUUGAUACUGCUCUGCUAGAGGACUGGAGAGGAGAUUGGAAUUCACGGUGUAGCAGUGAAAUGCGUAGAUAUCGUGAGGAAGACCGGUGGCGAAGGCGGAUCUCUGGACAGUUCCGAUGACGCUGAGGCGCGAAGGCCAGGGGAGCAAACGGG